GACCAGGUGGUUCUCUUUGGCGUCCUCACGCGUGAACUUGAUGUUGGGAUCCACAGUAUUGAUAUGCUCUGAGAACACUUCCAAGUCUUGUUUCUUGAUUUUCACAAAGGUGUCAUCCACUUAGCGGUGGAAACUGUUGUUGUAUUGGGCUGUAAGCCUUGGCUCCACCUCAGAACCGUGGCGUCAGUUUAAUUCAAGCAAACUGUGAAAGCCGUCUAUAUGGAAGCAAAUUAAGGUCAUUAAUAUUCUGAGCUUGUGAAAUGUUCACAAAUCAUUUCACAGCCUGCAGUUGUACAUCACCUUUUGUGUGCAUGUGAAAAAAAGUUGCAUGCACAUAUCUGAAAAAAAGUUUUGCAGCUGUAGAAAUAUUUUGUGUUUGUGUAAUUAAAAUAUGUGCAGGAAUAUUUUCAACAGUGAGGUUUCACACAGUCUGAGAAACGGACACACAAAUGUCCGAUCUUUGUGUGCGACACUGAAGCUACGAGCUACGAGCAUGAAUUUCGGCCCCGUUUUAACGCCUGUGCUAACGAGCCAAUCAGCACGUUUUCCACUGACCAUCCAAUCAGAGGAGGUCAAACUGUCCAAUCGAGGGCCAAAGGUUCUAGCGCGUUGUGGUUACUUCGUCCAUCUGUAGUAAGCUGGAGUCAACAUGGAGCAGCCGAGGGAGACGGGUCCAGUUUGUUCUCACGUCUUUUCUGACCAACAGAACAUCAGUCCAGCCCUGCGCUGUGGUCGGUAAGGAGAAAUAUUGGAACUGAAAUUGACAACAGACUGCAUAACUUGACUGUGGAUGACUGUUUAGCAUCCUUACACCUUCUCAUUUAGUUUAAAAUGCCACUCACACAUGAGUUAAACUAGGUAAUGCUUUAUUUUAUGUUCUGUGCUGUAGAGACUAUUGCAUAUCCUCAAGUCCUAAGAGGCAAUAAGAGAAGAGAUUGAAGGGAUGCAGUUUUGCCUUGUUGAUACCAAAGUCAGUAUUAUCACACUUUUAUUUAGACAUUUGAACUUCCUGGAAAAUUCCAAAUCUUGAAUGAGACUUUGAUAAUAAAUAGCAAUAAUAAUAAUAACUUAAGGACUUGGGAUUUAAAUGAGCUGUGAGGUUGGUUUUCUCUCCAUCACCCCCCUCACCCCCCUUCCACUCCUCCCGACCUCCUCCUUCCUGUCUCUAACUGCACACCGUCACUGUUGGUGACUCUGUGGCGACUCAGCAGUAAGUUCACACACAUGAAUGAAAUGUUGAAUUUCCACAGUGUGCCAUGAAGACGUCUUAUACACACUUAAUAAAGUGGGAGUGAAACACGUUUCAUGACUCCCGUGUGUUUCACAUAAAUCGAGCAACAACUGGAAAUGCAGUAUUAUUAAUGGGGGUAUUUGGUGAUUUUGAUUUUACACUCGCGGCUUAGUUGGAUUUCUUAUAUUGAAAAAACAAUCUAAUGUAUGUUUCCCUUUUGUCCUACUUGUGUCCUGCUGUCCAUCUGCUCUCCUCUAUCACAGUGGCGCUCUGUCUUUGGAAGUUUGAAAACUUUGCUGAGUGUAAAGAAGUGUAAAAGUAAUACCACUGCACACACUGGAUUAAUCCUCCCUGAUUCACAUUUUGUACCUAAUCUAUAAGCAUUCACAUUGUCUGAAUCAAUAAGUGUAUAUAAGUGCUUUGAAUCUGUAAGUAAUAGUAGCAUUGACAUAGUAUAUACAUAUAUAUAAUAUUCAUCCUUUGUGAUGUACCUUAAACUUUUGUUUGACCUUACAUAUCUGUAAUAUCCUCACAGGCUUGACAAAAAUAAAUUGAAUAGUGUAGAAACAUAAAUGUGAACUCUUUUCUGUGUUAAUCUACCAUUCCUAAGUGCUUUUGAUGACUAAAAGCAUCUAUCUUCUGAUCCUGCUACGUUAUCAUUAAUAUUGUGUUCAGUAUAUUGGCUGUGCACAGUAAAACAUUACAUUUGUGGUUUUGGAGCACAACAACAACGCCAAGGAAGGAGGUCAGCAGGAUGCAUCAUGGGUAUCACAGGUAUCAUAUGCUGGCAUUAAAGAGAGGACUUCACAUUGAUGAACUUUAAGAUCACAAUAACUGUAAUGUUGAAAGAAAAUGAAAGAAUAUUAUUUAUAUAAUUUAUUUGUCUUUUGUACAGAAAAUCACAUGAAAUGCCCGCAGCCGUACUGUCCUUAAUAUUAACGUUACUUGUUCAAACACACAACAACAAACAUUAGCCAACAGACUGCAGCUAGCUAACACAUUAGCUAAUAUGCAAAGAAGUAACUCUGGGAUGCACGCACAGCUGUCUUGAUAUCUCUCGUUAAUCACGAUGUAAAACUUUACUGGCAUGUUCCUGCUAAUCCCCCACCCCCCAAUUUCACAAGCUCAGAAUAUUAAUGACCCUAUGAAUACAUGAUUUGGGCCCGGGUCUGUUCCAGUCUGAGUCAGCUGGUGUUGAGUCGCCAGAUAAAAACAUAUAGGGUGUGUUAUGUAAAUAGUCUAAUCUGAAGUCUUCAGAUCCAGUCGCUGCUGUCGUUCUCACAAAGCUUUUUAAAAAGAUCCGAACAAAAAGCUUCUUACUCUCUGCAUGUUUAACCCAGAACCCUACUGAACAUCACAUGCCGUGGUAUUCAGGUAGGGAUAUAAGCUACACUAGAAUAGGACUGGUAGCUCAUUUAUGGCACUAUCAGCAGAUAAUGUCCCAUUUGCAACUUCAGUCACAACACAUAAGAAAUGUUUCAAAAUAUGAACUCUAGU